AUUGAACGCUGGCGGCAUGCUUUACACAUGCAAGUCGAACGGGUAGAGGGGGGCAACCCCCUUGAGAGUGGCGAACGGGUGAGUAAUGUAUCGGAACGUGCCCAGUCGUGGGGGAUAACGUAGUGAAAAUUACGCUAAUACCGCAUACGAUCUAUGGAUGAAAGCAGGGGAUCGCAAGACCUUGCGUUAUACGAGCGGCCGAUGUCAGAUUAGCUAGUUGGUGAGGUAAAGGCCCACCAAGGCGACGAUCUGUAGCUGGUCUGAGAGGACGACCAGCCACACUGGGACUGAGACACGGCCCAGACUCCUACGGGAGGCAGCAGUGGGGAAUUUUGGACAAUGGGCGCAAGCCUGAUCCAGCAAUGCCGCGUGCAGGAAGAAGGCC
rnacentral:rRNA from 1 species